rnacentral:snRNA from 1 species
AUCCUUUUCCUGGCAGAGCAGACACUAUGGUCAAAGUGAUUUUUCUGGGAUGAGGUUCAUCCCUUGUACCAUGGCUUUGCUGACUCCUCUGAUUUUAGUUCAGCUGCACUGUUUCUGGUAGUGGAGAGCUGCGUUUUUGUUCUCCC